UGCAUGGAGCCGCCAUUGGUACAGAUCUUGGUGGUAGUAGCAAAUAAUCGAAUGAGACCUUGGAGGACUGAAGUGGAGAAGGGUUUCGUGUGAACAGUGGUUGAUCACGAGUUAGUCGGUCCUAAGUUCAAGGCGAAAGCCGAAAAUUUUCAAGUUUUAAAAAUGUCAAAUGAAAUAAUAAAUAAUAAAACACUUGAAUAAUUUUGAACGAAAGGGAAUACGGUUCCAAUUCCGUAACCUGUUGAGUAUCCGUUUGUUAUUAAAUAUGGGCCUCGUGCUCAUCCUGGCAACAGGAACGACCAUAAAGAAGCCGUCGAGAGGUAUCGGAAGAGUUUUCUUUUCUGUUUUAUAGCCGUACUACCAUGGAAGUCUUUCGCAGAGAGAUAUGGUAGAUGGGCUAGAAGAGCAUGACAUAUACUGUUGUGUCGAUAUUUUCUCCUCGGACCUUGAAAAUUUAUGGUGGGGAUACGCAAACUUCUCAACAGGCCGUACCAAUAUCCGCAGCUGGUCUCCAAGGUGAAGAGUCUCUAGUCGAUAGAAUAAUGUAGGUAAGGGAAGUCGGCAAAUUAGAUCCGUAACUUCGGGAUAAGGAUUGGCUCUGAAGAUUGAGAUAGUCGGGCUUGAUUGGGAAACAAUAACAUGGUUUAUGUGCUCGUUCUGGGUAAAUAGAGUUUCUAUCAUUUAUGAUAGUUAUUUGUUCCCCGGAUAGUUAGUUACGUAGCCAAUUGUGGAACUUUCUUGCUAAAAUUUUUAAGAAUACUAAUUUUUAAUUAGUUCUUUUAAAUUAUAACGAUUAUCAAUUAACAAUCAAUUCAGAACUGGCACGGACUUGGGGAAUCCGACUGUCUAAUUAAAACAAAGCAUUGUGAUGGCCCUAGCGGGUGUUGACACAAUGUGAUUUCUGCCCAGUGCUCUGAAUGUCAAAGUGAAGAAAUUCAAGUAAGCGCGGGUCAACGGCGGGAGUAACUAUGACUCUCUUAAGGUAGCCAAAUGCCUCGUCAUCUAAUUAGUGACGCGCAUGAAUGGAUUAACGAGAUUCUACUGUCCCUAUCUACUAUCUAGCGAAACCACAGCCAAGGGAACGGGCUUGGAAUAAUUAGCGGGGAAAGAAGACCCUUUUGAGCUUGACUCUAAUCUGGCAGUGUAAGGAGACAUAAGAGGUGUAGAAUAAGUGGGAGAUAUUAUUCCUUGUGUUUGAUAUCGCCAAUGAAAUACCACUACUCUUAUUGUUUCCUUACUUACUUGAUUAAAUGGAACGUGUAUCAUUUCCUAGCCAUUAUACGGAUAUAUUUAUUAUAUCUUAUGGUAUUGGGUUUUGAUGCAAGCUUCUUGAUCAAAGUAUCACGAGUUUGUUAUAUAAUCGCAAACAAAUUCUUUAAUGAGAGAGUGCAUUUAUGUAUUUUUAAUUUGAAAUAUUUGGUAUAACUCCAAUUACUCAGGUAUGAUCCAAUUCAAGGACAUUGCCAGGUAGGGAGUUUGACUGGGGCGGUACAUCUCUCAAAUAAUAACGGAGGUGUCCCAAGGCCAGCUCAGUGCGGACAGAAACCACACAUAGAGCAAAAGGGCAAAUGCUGACUUGAUCUCGGUGUUCAGUACACACAGGGACAGCAAAAGCUCGGCCUAUCGAUCCUUUUGGUUUAAAGAGUUUUUAACAAGAGGUGUCAGAAAAGUUACCAUAGGGAUAACUGGCUUGUGGCGGCCAAGCGUUCAUAGCGACG
rnacentral:ncRNA from 1 species